rnacentral:rRNA from 1 species
GACGAACGCUGGCGGCGUGCUUAACACAUGCAAGUCGAACGGAAAGGCCCUGCUUUUGUGGGGUGCUCGAGUGGCGAACGGGUGAGUAACACGUGAGUAACCUGCCCUUGACUUUGGGAUAACUUCAGGAAACUGGGGCUAAUACCGGAUAGGAGCUCCUGCUGCAUGGUGGGGGUUGGAAAGUUUCGGCGGUUGGGGAUGGACUCGCGGCUUAUCAGCUUGUUGGUGGGGUAGUGGCUUACCAAGGCUUUGACGGGUAGCCGGCCUGAGAGGGUGACCGGCCACAUUGGGACUGAGAUACGGCCCAGACUCCUACGGGAGGCAGCAGUGGGGAAUAUUGCACAAUGGGCGGAAGCCUGAUGCAGCAACGCCGCGUGCGGGAUGACGGCCUUCGGGUUGUAAACCGCUUUCGCCUGUGACGAAGCGUGAGUGACGGUAAUGGGUAAAGAAGCACCGGCUAACUACGUGCCAGCAGCCGCGGUGAUACGUAGGGUGCGAGCGUUGUCCGGAUUUAUUGGGCGUAAAGGGCUCGUAGGUGGUUGAUCGCGUCGGAAGUGUAAUCUUGGGGCUUAACCCUGAGCGUGCUUUCGAUACGGGUUGGCUUGAGGAAGGUAGGGGAGAAUGGAAUUCCUGGUGGAGCGGUGGAAUGCGCAUAUAUCAGGAGGAACACCAGUGGCGAAGGCGGUUCUCUGGGCCUUUCCUGGCGCUGAGGAGCGAAAGCGUGGGGAGCGAACAGGCUUAGAUACCCUGGUAGUCCACGCUGUAAACGGUGGGUACUAGGUGUGGGGUCCAUCUCCACGGGUUCCGCGCCGUAACUAACGCUUUAAGUACCCCGCCUGGGGAGUACGGCCGCAAGGCUAAAACUCAAAGGAAUUGACGGGGCCCCGCACAAGCGGCGGAGCAUGCGGAUUAAUUCGAUGCAACGCGUAGAACCUUACCUGGGUUUGACAUGGAUCGGGAGUGCUCAGAGAUGGGUGUGCCUCUUUUGGGGUCGGUUCACAGGUGGUGCAUGGCUGUCGUCAGCUCGUGUCGUGAGAUGUUGGGUUAAGUCCCGCAACGAGCGCAACCCUUGUUCACUGUUGCCAGCACGUUAUGGUGGGGACUCAGUGGAGACCGCCGGGGUCAACUCGGAGGAAGGUGGGGAUGACGUCAAGUCAUCAUGCCCCUUAUGUCCAGGGCUUCACGCAUGCUACAAUGGCUGGUACAGAGAGUGGCGAGCCUGUGAGGGUGAGCGAAUCUCGGAAAGCCGGUCUCAGUUCGGAUUGGGGUCUGCAACUCGACCUCAUGAAGUCGGAGUCGCUAGUAAUCGCAGAUCAGCAACGCUGCGGUGAAUACGUUCCCGGG